rnacentral:rRNA from 1 species
AGCGAACGCUGGCGGCAGGCCUAACACAUGCAAGUCGAACGGGCCCUUCGGGGUUAGUGGCGGACGGGUGAGUAACACGUGGGAACGUGCCUUUAGGUUCGGAAUAGCUCCUGGAAACGGGUGGUAAUGCCGAAUGUGCCCUUCGGGGGAAAGAUUUAUCGCCUGUAGAGCGGCCCGCGUCUGAUUAGCUAGUUGGUGAGGUAAUGGCUCACCAAGGCGACGAUCAGUAGCUGGUCUGAGAGGAUGACCAGCCACACUGGGACUGAGACACGGCCCAAACUCCUACGGGAGGCAGCAGUGGGGAAUCUUGCGCAAUGGGCGAAAGCCUGACGCAGCCAUGCCGCGUGGAUGAUGAAGGUCUUAGGAUUGUAAAAUCCUUUCACCGGUGAAGAUAAUGACUGUAGCCGGAGAAGAAGCCCCGGCUAACUUCGUGCCAGCCGCCGCCGUAA